rnacentral:siRNA from 1 species
AGAAAGCUCAAGGAGAAAGGAAAG